AACAACUCAUUGAGCAUGAAGAUAGCUGCCAGUUGGAUAAAUACAAAGCAUCUGAGAAAAAUGGGAGGAGUGGGUGGUUAUGGUCGCGUCUCAUUCCCCAAUCUUCAUAUUCACCAGUCAAAGGGCUCUACCUUUAUGGAGGAGUAGGCACUGGAAAGACGAUGCUUAUGGAUUUGUUUUAUGAUCGAUUUGACGUAGGCAUCAUGAAGUAGUUGGUGAUAUCAAAGAUUCUCCUGUAGUUCAUUGGCAAUGUUCACCAAUAAUUUGCCUCUAGUAUGUACCUGGAAUAUUUAGAAAAACCACAUCCUGUAAGUCUUUUACAUUUUAAGUAUCGCAUGUACUCUUAUUAUUAUGAUUUCUUGGUUUUGAGGCCUUUGUUUGUAUAAUGGCAGGUUUGUAUUGUAACAUGAAGGCAUGAUAAAAUAGUGAGUUUCUUGUACAAAGUGCUGAUUCAAAAUAUCUGCAUGCUCUGAGGUUAAGGAUAGUUUGAUUGCAUAGAAAAACCUGUGCUUCAUGAACCAAGAGAAAUCACAUCCAUCAGAGUUUUUUUUCUUUCAUUUGUUGAGUACUCAGAUUUUUCCUUAAAUUGGUUAGUAAGCUGAACAAUAGUGAGUUCAAUUUAAUGAUCGUUUAUUUGGUGUCCUGCAUUCCUUGUCCAUCUUGCCAUUCAUGUGCAUGCUUCAACAUAUCCAUGUGAUCGUUACCCAUGAUUGA